GACGAACGCUGGCGGCGUGCUUAACACAUGCAAGUCGAACGGAAAGGCCCUGCUUUUGUGGGGUGCUCGAGUGGCGAACGGGUGAGUAACACGUGAGUAACCUGCCCUUGACUUUGGGAUAACUUCAGGAAACUGGGGCUAAUACCGGAUAGGAGCUCCUGCUGCAUGGUGGGGGUUGGAAAGUUUCGGCGGUUGGGGAUGGACUCGCGGCUUAUCAGCUUGUUGGUGGGGUAGUGGCUUACCAAGGCUUUGACGGGUCGCCGGCCUGAGAGGGUGACCGGCGACCUGGGGACUGAGAUACGGACCAGACUCCUACGGGAGGCAGCAGUGGGGAAUCUUGCCCAAUGGGCGGACGCCUGAUGCAGCAACGCCCGGUGCGGGAUGCCGGCCUUCGGGUUGUAAACCGCAUUAGCCUGUGACGAAGCGUGAGUGACGGUAAUGGGUAAAGAAGCACCGGCUAACUACGUG
rnacentral:rRNA from 1 species